UUCCCGAUAUAUAGAGGGCCCUAAAAUUAAUUUGAAUUAAGCGAUUUUGAUUCGGAUCAAUAAAUUUUCAAACCGUAGUUGUGUUGGUGCUCUUUGCACUGGCCAAUUAAAUUGUGAAACACGUAGAAUUGCACGUUUCACGCCUCUCUCUCAUGGAUCACCCAGACUCUGGUUCGAAUAGAGUGCUCUACUGACCUGCAAAGGUUAGCACCGGUGUCAUUCUGGGUUUAUUUUAUAGAUGAAAGUAUCAUG
rnacentral:lncRNA from 1 species